CUUACCUCAUCAAGCACGAUAGCAAGUCUUCCACCCCCGAACCCUCACGCCAUCGACGUAGCUGUCUUCGGUCUCCCGUGCUUCCCUUCGAGAGAUCAAGGUGCGUGUCCUCUCCUUCUCCAAGCAGUCUCCAUCCCCAGGCAGUCGCUGACCUUUUGCUUAUGCGUCCUCGCGCAUGUGCCUGAUUAUUCGGCUAGGGCUCUCAUCAUUUUGUUUGUUGCUACCUGAGGACGCAUCGUUUUGUUUGUUGCUACCUGCUAACAUAUCAACUAGCACGAUUUUAAGCCUAUCUAAAUGCCCUUCGGAUUCUUGAAAUUAUAUUUAAAAAAUCCUUAUCAUCGCCUCCAAACUUGACCGACCCACGCCAGUGACGCUUGCUGUCAAAGGUGACUGACCCAUUUUUACUACACAGUCAGGUGCUUUCUCUAAUCAAAAUAGACUCACUUGCAUCAAAGUUAGCUCCAUAUGAGGCUAAUACAUCAGCAACUAAAUUAGAAGCCCUAUGGCAUUUAGAGAUUUUACAGCAAGAGAAAUCAAAGUUGAUUCUUGAUGUUUGCUAAUAGCUCUAUUUUAUGUAUCCAACUAUUACUUAAAUGGAAAAUCUUCAGCCAAAUAAAUAAAUUUUCCCUACAAUCACCUGUCCGAGAACAAUUGGCAUUUUACGCUAAAUAGGUCGAAACUUAAUCAAUAUGAAGUACUAUUUACAAAAAUUUUAGUUAGUUUCGUUAGAAAAUCAAAUUAUGAAUUAGGACGCCCUUGAAAGAAUAGAAAUAUAACACACUAAACUUUAUGGCAUUGAAGUGCACCUACAUUACUUGCACCGCAUAGAUGGUACCUAGGGAGAUUGGAAUGUUCCCCUUUAUGUUAUUGCCACUCAAGUUUCUGUUCACAAGAUCGGCAGUUACUUCUGUCAGAAUAGCCAGAAGUGCUAACACUUCCUUUUGAGUAAUGACAGUAACUCCAUUUAUAUUUGGUAAAAAUGUUUAGCAUCACAAGAUCGGCACUUACCCACAGUUGAUAUUCUUUGAGGUACACAACUUUUGUUAUUAAAUGGUACUAACACAUGAUGUUUAUCAAACAACAAAUUGCUCACUAGAGAUAACUUGAACAAGAGGAAACAUAUACUGGACACAUGGUGUUUAUUCUAUACAGAAAAUGAAUCAAUCUGUCACCUAAUGUUUGACUGCUGCAUAGCUAAAGUUUUGUGGGCAAAACUGAAUAAUCUUCUUGGUUGGAGUGUAGGUUAUAAUUUUGAGUCAAUUGCUUGCCUCUGGCUAAGUCCUAAGAAAUAUGAAUUACAGAAUGCUAUAUGUGCAGCAACUCUUUGGAUCUUGUGGAAAACACAAAAUGAAUUACAUUUUUAGAGAAAAAGUUGGUCUGGUGUGUGCAAGCUGAUGGGGAGAGUGGCCCGGACUAUGAGUUGCUGGAAGUUGAUCUUCAAGACAAGUGCCUUGAAG
rnacentral:lncRNA from 1 species